rnacentral:rRNA from 1 species
UACAGAGGGCGCGAGCGUUGUCCGGAAUCACUGGGCUUAAAGGGCGCGUAGGCGGACUCGUUAGUCAGGGGUGAAAGCCCACGGCCCAACCGUGGAAGUGCCUUUGAUACUGCGAGUCUCGAGGGGGAUAGGGGCGUGCGGAACUCAGGGUGGAGCGGUGAAAUGCGUAGAUAUCCUGAGGAGCACCGGUGGCGAAAGCGGCGCGCUGGAUCCCUUCUGACGCUGAGGCGCGAAAGCCAGGGGAGCAAACGGG